ensembl:miRNA ocu-mir-12090 ocu-mir-12090
GUGUCAGGCUCGGCAGGGACACGCUUCCUACUGAGAUGGCGUCUCACGGCGAGCCUGAUGCC